UACGGAGGGUGCAAGCGUUAUCCGGAUUCACUGGGUUUAAAGGGCGCGUAGGCGGCUCGCGAGGUCGGGGGUGAAAUCCCGCAGCUUAACUGCGGAAGGGCCUCCGAUACCGGCGGGCUGGAGGAAGGUAGGGGUGUGCGGAACUUCUGGUGGAGCGGUGAAAUGCGUUGAUAUCAGAAGGAACGCCGGCGGCGAAAGCGGCGCACUGGACCUUUUCUGACGCUGAGGCGCGAAAGCUAGGGGAGCAAACGGG
rnacentral:rRNA from 1 species